ACUCCAGGGUACCUGGAAAUCUAGGAUGGCGUCCAAAAUGGCUGCCAAAGCCUAAAAAUCCACACUUCAUCUAUUACUUUAGUGUCUUUUAUUUUUUUUUAUCUAUUCAAUGGUUUUACGGGUCAAGUAAUACAUUGUAGCAAGUUACAAGGACGUCAGCGGUCAACAGACCUUAGUGCCUCUUAUUCUUGCUGGUACUUUAUUUCUUCAUUCAUUCAUUUACUCGGUCAUCCAUUUACUUCUUUUAUGCUCUUCACACGGUGCAGCUUCUACAGCUUCGACAAGUUUCCGUUUCUCUUGACUUACAGCCGGAAUUGGUAUGAGGAACACAAUUAUUUUCACCUUGCUGACUACAGUAAUGCUGUUUGGCAUGCUGGAAUAUACAGAAGCCAAAGGAUUUAAAAGGGCUGCUCCUUCUGGAAUUUAUGAUGGUCCUCCUGGCAUUAAUGGUGCUCCUUCCAGUGGUGGAAUCAGUAAAAAUAUCAAUGCUGAAAUAAUGAAGAAGCCUCCCCGUGGAAGGCGAUAGUCGUGCUGAAUACCUCACUACCAACGCAAACCUACGUCCACAUGUAUGUGGAGGUGCCGUGGACUGAUAGACACCUAGGAGAUGAAAUUCAGCGUUGACAAUGUAAAUUACAAUUUAUACUGAUCGAGAUCAUCACAGCCCCGACAUGGGAAUGACUAUUUGCUAAUUUUUUUUUUUUUUUUUUUGGGGGGGUGAUACUGAAAAUAAAAUUUUACAUAAUUUCUUCAGAAAAUGUGUUUAUUAUUACCGUAUCUUGUUACCUUCUCUUGAAACUAAUCCAAUCACACUUUUUUUUAUUGUCAUUUUGGUUUGUCUUUGGAAGUUCAAUCAUUUUAUUCGAUUUUAAUCAAAUUUUCAUAUUAGACAUUGCAAUAUAUAUUCAUAUCCAAUAUGCUUUGUGCUUUGAACUGAUAUGUACGUGUAUUUUCCCCAUUUUUCUCUCUUGAUUGCACCCAUUUCCGCUUUUCCAAAUAUGUUAUACAUAAUAUAUAGAAUUUGUUGUUGUAUAAGGCAGGGUACAUAUUUGUCAAUCUACAAGUUAUGGAUGACUUAUUUAGCAUCAUGUUUCAACAAUUUAUGUAUAUCUAAUAUGACUAAAAGUUGAAUCGCCAUUUAUAAAGUUAGGAUAGCAUGCAUUGAUGUAAUCACAAUGAUCACAUAUUUUACAUAUUUCAAAAGAUAAGCUUUGUAUUUUCAUUUAUGGUUUAACUUACGAAAUAAAUCAUUAUCUGAAUAAAAAAGGAUUAAAUUUUCUUUAA